UAUCUCACCACCUCUCUCUCUCUUUCUCUUUCUCUCUAACAUGCGCGUGCGCACACACACAUCUAUAGCCAUGAGGCAGGCGAGAACAUACUCUGCUAUCCUCUCGGGUGGAGUGUCCGGGAGAAUAUCGGGCCACGUGUAAUUGACCACCCCCAGCCAUGGCUCAAUUAUACCAGAGGGGUCUUCGGUGCCCAUUGAAGCAGCUCCGCUUGGCCGAGACCGAGGAUCUCGGGGAAGCGGUGGAGAGGUGGUAGUGGGAGGAGAGGAGGGCAGCCAUUCGAGCUAGGUUUUCGAAAGGAAAGAGAUCGGUGUAAGCGUUCCCUCUCCCUCCCCGAAGCCAUCUCGGUGAUAUCUUUUUUUUAGUGCGGGUGAGAAGAACAGAGAAAAAAAGAAAAAAAAAUAGAGGAAGAAAGAAGAGAAGGAGGAGUUUAUUACCUAAGUUUGGUGAGGAAUCAACAGGUUCUAUGGGGUUUUGGAGCAGAGCAACGGGAGAGCAAUGGGAUGGGGUUUUGGAGCAGAGCGUUUUAUAGAGCCGGAAAUAAAGAAGACUCCUGUUCAACGGGUUGGGGUUUUGGAGCAGACAGCCAGAAACAAAGAAGACUCCUGUUCAUCGGAAGUCUUCCUCCUCAACCAGCUCCAGAUAUAUUUUUUUAAAUUUUUAAUUUUUUUAUUUUUUUAAUACUAGACAUAUCGUACGGGGGGCUUCUCUGUGGAGAGAUCUUCAUUUUAUAUUAUAUAUAUUAGAUUCGUGGUAUGUUUGUAAUCUAUUUAUUAAUACAUAGUUACUUCUACUUGCAGGGGUACUAUCGAUUCGAGACUCUUCAGAAGGAGAAGGUUGGUCGUCGGACUUUUAAGGAGGUGGUCAUAUGGAGGUUCCGAGAUGAGCUAUACAGUCUUUGGUAGUCCAUCAUAGAGCACUCCAAUUUUGAGUCACCAUCGGACUGAAAGCCUUACACAGAUCACUGGAUACAGAUGGACAUAUAAGAGGUCCUCUGCAACCAGUGGAGUACUGAGAAGUAUUCUGGUAAGCGACAGAGGGCACGGCAAAAAUCAAUCAAUCCAGUAGCAUCUGAUCAAGCACAUUGGCGACUCCGUUAGCACACAUAUUGUGACACGGCAGCUGGAUCGUGCAUCAGGACAGUUGCAGAUAUGAGAGGCCACACAUCAUUAUAGGAGGACUGAUGAUUACUUAGAUCCUCGAUCUCGACAGAUCUGUUACUUAAAAUAUUAUUUAUUAAGUUUUUAUAUAUACUGAUAUAUAUGGACUAAUGAAUUUCUAAACUAUGCAAGUGGAUUACGCGGAAUAUCUCGUAUUGCGGCACGAUGAAGAUCCAUCCUCUCAGCCCCUCCUUAACCUCAAUGGAUGGCUCAGGACCAUCAGAGGGGGAGCAGGAGCCGAGUUAUAGGAUUUGACCAUAGCUUUGGUCCUCCUACAGUUUGAUACUCCUCUCAGGCUCGAUGAUUCAAACAUAGGCUAACGCACAUGUGGAGGAGGUCGUGCAUAGACUUUGGAGCCAACAACUUCAGAGCUUCAGAAACAUUAUCCGCGAUAUGGUCAUUGAGAUUCUUCGAAAUCUAUAUUUGCGUAAUCAGCUGGGCUCGUUGUCGCGGCCAUCAUAGCAGAAUGCUGGGACAUUCGGCUCUUAUCCACUAACUACUCGAGAGAACAUACAGGAGCAGAAGGAGAAUGAGAAGGACAACGAGGAGGAUCGUACAUGAUUUUUUUAAUAUGUGUGUAAUUUUGAUACUUAUAAAGCAGUAUCUGUAUGUAAAAUUAUAUAAUUUAUAUUUUUAAUAUAAUAUAAUUAAUUUUA